CCAGUGGCGAAGGCGACUUUCUGGUCUGUAACUGACGCUGAUGUGCGAAAGCGUGGGGAUCAAACAGGAUUAGAUGCCCUGAUAGUCCACGCCGUAAACGAUGAGUGCUAAGUGUUAGGGGGUUUCCGCCCCUUAGUGCUGCAGCUAACGCAUUAAGCACUCCGCCUGGGGAGUACGACCGCAAGGUUGAAACUCAAAGGAAU
rnacentral:rRNA from 1 species